rnacentral:rRNA from 1 species
UAACCUGCGGAGGGAUCAUUACUGAGUUACCGCUCUAUAACCCUUUGUGAACAUACCUAACCGUUGCUUCGGCGGGCAGGGGAAGCCUCUCGCGGGCCUCCCCUCCCGGCGCCGGCCCCACCACGGGGACGGGGCGCCCGCCGGAGGAAACCAAACUCUAUUUACACGACGUCUCUUCUGAGUGGCACAAGCAAAUAAUUAAAACUUUUAACAACGGAUCUCUUGGUUCUGGCAUCGAUGAAGAACGCAGCGAAAUGCGAUAAGUAAUGUGAAUUGCAGAAUUCAGUGAAUCAUCGAAUCUUUGAACGCACAUUGCGCUCGCCAGCAUUCUGGCGAGCAUGCCUGUUCGAGCGUCAUUUCAACCCUCAAGCACCGCUUGGUUUUGGGGCCCCACGGCACACGUGGGCCCUUAAAGGUAGUGGCGGACCCUCCCGGAGCCUCCUUUGCGUAGUAACUAACGUCUCGCACUGGGAUUCGGAGGGACUCUUGCCGUAAAACCCCCCAAUUUUUUACAGGUUGACCUCGGAUCAGGUAGGAAUACCCGCUGAACUUAAGCAUAUCAAA